UACGUAGGUGGCGAGCGUUGUCCGGAUUUACUGGGCGUAAAGAGCGCGCAGGCGGUCGUUCAAGUCGCGUGUGAAAGCCCCCGGCUCAACUGGGGAGGGUCACGCGAUACUGAUCGACUCGAAGGCAGGAGAGGGUAGUGGAAUUCCCGGUGUAGUGGUGAAAUGCGUAGAUAUCGGGAGGAACACCAGUGGCGAAGGCGGCUCACUGGCUUAUUACUGACGCUCAGGCGCGAUAGCGUGGGGAUCAAACAGG
rnacentral:rRNA from 1 species